rnacentral:SRP_RNA from 1 species
AGGUGACGAGAGGUUGUGAACCCGGUCAGGUCCGGAAGGAAGCAGCCGUAACAGCUGUAUCGGGUACCCUGGACUGGCUGG